GGGUCAGUAGGUUGGUCGUGCCACCGGUACGUACUGGUCUCACUGAUUCCUCCUUCCUGAAGAACCGUAAUGCCAUUAAUUUGGUGAUGCGGGGAAACAGGACUGUUACUUUGAAAAAAUUAGAGUGUUUAAAGCAAGCUAACGCUUGAAUACAUUAGCAUGGAAUAAUGAAAUAGGACGAUCGAUCCUAGUUUGUUGGUUUCUAGGAUUGACGUA
rnacentral:rRNA from 1 species